rnacentral:tRNA from 1 species
GGGGAUUUAGCUCAGUGGUAGAGCGCUUGCCUAGGAAGCGCAAGGUCCUGGGUUCGAUCCCCAGCCCUG